rnacentral:rRNA from 1 species
AGGGAUCAUUACUGAGUUAUCUAACUCCCAAACCACUUGUGAACUUACCACUGUUGCCUCGGCGGCAGUCCUCUGUAGCAGGAGGCGGCCGCCGGUGGACUACUAAACUCUUGUUAAUUUUUGUCAAUUCUGAAUUAAAAACUUAAUAAGUUAAAACUUUCAACAACGGAUCUCUUGGUUCUGGCAUCGAUGAAGAACGCAGCGAAAUGCGAUAAGUAAUGUGAAUUGCAGAAUUCAGUGAAUCAUCGAAUCUUUGAACGCACAUUGCGCCCAUUAGUAUUCUAGUGGGCAUGCCUGUUCGAGCGUCAUUUCAACCCUUAAGCUUAGCUUAGUAUUGGGAAUCUGCUUAAACCGCAGUUCCUUAAAUCUAGUUGGCAGAGCACAUCUGUACUCUGAGCGUAGUAAUUCAUUAUCUCGCUUUCUGAAGACAGUUGUACGAUCGCCAUAAACCUAUUUAUUUUUUAAUGGUUGACCUCGGAUCAGGUAGGAAUACCCGCUGAACUUAAGCAUAUCAAUAAGCGGAGGAAAAGAAACCAACAGGGAUUGCCCUAGUAACGGCGAGUGAAGCGGCAACAGCUCAAAUUUGAAAUCUGGCCUUCUGGUCCGAAUUGUAAUUUGUAGAGGAUGUUUUUGGUUAGGUACCUUCCGAGUUCCUUGGAACAGGACGCCUUAGAGGGUGAGAGCCCCGUACGGUUGGAUGCCGAGCCUUUGUAAAACUCCUUCGACGAGUCGAGUAGUUUGGGAAUGCUGCUCUAAAUGGGAGGUAAAUUUCUUCUAAAGCUAAAUACCGGCCAGAGACCGAUAGCGCACAAGUAGAGUGAUCGAAAGAUGAAAAGCACUUUGAAAAGAGGGUUAAAUAGUACGUGAAAUUGUUGAAAGGGAAGGGCUUAUGACCAGACCUUUGCCUUGCGGAUCAUCCGGUGUUCUCACCGGUGCACUUCGCUUGGUUUAGGCCAGCAUCGAUUUUGGUAGGGGGAUAAAGACUUUAGUAAUGUGGCUCCUCCGGGAGUGUUAUAGACUAUUGUGUAAUACCUUUACUGGGAUCGAGGACCGCGC